ACACGACUACAUUAGAUACCCCCGUAGUCCUAGCCGUAAACGAUACUCGCUAGGUGUCGGCCACGGUGCGACCGUUGUCGGUGCCGUAGGGAAACCGUGAAACGUGCCGCCUGGGAAGUACGGUCGCAAGGCUGAAACUUAAAGGAAUUGGCGGGGAGCACCACAACGGGUGGAGCCUGCGGUUUAAUUGGACUCAACGCCGGAAAUCUCACCGGAUAGGACAGACAUAUGAUAGUCGGGCUGAAGACUCUACUUGAUGAUCUG
rnacentral:rRNA from 1 species